rnacentral:lncRNA from 1 species
CCAAAGUGCUGGGAUUAUACAGGUGUGAGCCACUGUGCCUGCUUAUCUUUUAAUCUGGAAAGUAAGUCAAAACAAGGAUAAAUGUUUCAUAAAAUUUUUUCAAAAGAUUGUAAUUGGGCCAGGCAUGGUGGCUCAUGCCUGUAAUCCCAGCACUUUGAGAGGCUGAGGCAGGCAGGUCACUUGAGGUCAGGAGUUUAAGACCAGCCUGGCCAACAUGGUGAAACCCCAUCUCUACCAAAAAACACAAAAGUUAGCCGAGUGUGGUGGAGUGCACCUGUAGCACCAGCUACUCAGGAGGCUGAGGUGGGAGAAUCACUUGAAUCUGGGAGGCAGAGGCUGCAGUGAGCUGAGAUUAUGCCAUUGCCCUCCAGCCUGGAUGACAGAGUGAGACCCUGUUUCAAAAAAAAAAAAAAAAAAGAUUCUGGCUGUGGCAGAUUGCUUAAGUGUAUAUAAAUAUAUGUAGCCUUGAAUAAAGAAGUGUGAGUACUCCACUAGCUGAACACUCAACAUGUUAUUCUCAGUAUAUAACUUAUGUGAUCUUGCCUACCAAUAAACAUUUGAGAAAAAUGUUUAAUUCUAAUAAGAUAACAGAACCCAAAUUGAGUUCUGUUGAAACCUUUAUCAUGGCUUGCAAUAUUGUUGGAAAUUCUUAAUUCUAAUCUUGUUUUUAUUGAUGUAACAUGGGGUUUUUUGUCUUGAAAAUGAGGAUUGCAAGACCUAUAUGACAAUUGCUAGUUUAUUUCUUCAUAGUGUGAUACGAUAAUAGGAAUUUCCAGAAAUUCCCCUCCUGGCUUUUGUCCUUAAGAAGUAUUAUAAAAGUAUUUAACUUUUCUUUUCAGAAAGUGCAGUAACAUCUCGA